UAGGGUUAAGUAUUUUGUUGUCGAGUUAACAUUGUUAAAAAUAUUUCCUUUCUUUUGGCAGCUAUUAGUAUUUUUAUUUUGAAAAUAUAAUAUGACUUGGAAAAUUAUUAUUAUUAUUUUGUUUCUUUUUUCAAAAACUGAAUAUGAAGUGGUAAACUAUUAUUGGCUGGUGAACUCAAGAAAAAUUCGGUGAUAAAUGAACGAGUUUAGAACGCCAACAUGUUUCAGGUUUGAUUUUUACGCAAAACUUAGUCACACAAAACUUAGUCACAUUGUUCUCGACACUCACAUAUAUAUGAAUCUUUGCUUUAGGCCCGUUAUAUUAAAUACAUGAAGAGAGAAUCUAGCCGUGAGCUAUUCCUUCUGUUUAGUCUGGAUUUUUCCAUAGGUCUGGAGUACCUCCAAAUUAAUACCAAAAAACAUAUACAUAAUAUGAACGUACUUUAAGAAAAAAAUGAGCCUUCAAAAUAUAAUUACAGGUUUAGAUAUUCCUUUGUUGUCUUAGUUUAAUGGUCUCAUCUGACCAUUCAUUUUAAUCAUUUCCCUUGCAUCAUAGUAUUUUUUUGUUGGUUGAAAUUGAAAUACAAUUUUGAAAAUUCGUGUAUAGAGAAAGCCAUGCAUGUAUUUAAACGUCAAAGAUUAUAAUACUUGUACCAUCUAAGGAGAUAAUUUACUCAAAUGAACAGCAAGAAAAUAUGCUAAUAGAUGCAAUAUGGUGUAGUAGAUUAGAUACUAUAAAUGCUAUUAAAGUAAAAAUAGAGUCGGACAAAAUAAUGGACAAUGUACUAAGAAAACAAAUAUUGAUAUCUGCUGUUUUUAUGUUGAUCUUGUGCCGGUAGAGAAUAAAGAAAACCAAAAAUGAUGGGGUGCCUGAGUGAACUAAGGGGUGAAAGGUAUGAGAAACCAAUUGCAUUGCCAUGAUUAUUAAUAUUAUAUUACUAUCCUCUUUUAUAGGUGAAUUUUAUUUUAUUUUUUAUUGUUUAUAAGAUAUUAUUUUAAAUUUAGCAUACUAAUUAAAAUAAUAUUGCAAUUUCCAUUGUGUUUUAGUUGUUGGGUUUUUGUGCUAUCUUUGAUAAGGAUCACACUCAAACUUUUAUAUGUACUACACUUGUAAACAAUAUAAAACAAAAACAGAAAGAUAGGAUGAUGAAAUGUUACCUAUUAAAUAAAUUAAUAAUAUUAACAAAUCUACGUUACAUAUUUAACGCUAUUUUACUACUAUAUUUGAAAACAUUUAAGCUAGCAUUAAUUAUUAAUUUCAUUGAAGUAAUAUAACAGAAAACGUAUCACCAUGAAUUUAAUGUUAGUUUAUGUCUGUGUUAUGAUUUCAUAUAAAAUCAUAACCAUCAACAAGACAUUGUCAACUGCGAUGAAUAUAGAUGCAGCAUGCUCUCAUGUAAUUUACAACCUGGUUAUGCCAUGAUUGAAGACUAAAUUGGGUGAAUGAGAAACGCUCUACCCGCACGGUACAAGGUUAAAAUCAUGGGUGAGACAAUCAGCUUUAUAUCAUGCAAAUCAACGGUCAUACAAUUGCAUGAGUAUGUAGCCAAAAGGUAUUCUAAUGCAUAAUAUAAUUACAAAAUUAUAAAUAGCUUAUGAAAGACUAAGAAUAAUAUGUAGUUAGAGGCAGAUAAAAAAACUUACUCCCUCCGCUUUUAUAUAUAUGACGUUUUGAAACUGUUUUUAGUUCCACUUUACAUGACGUUUUGCAGAAAAUUAGAAAAAAUAUAGUAGCAUUGACUUUAUUUACCCUUUAUAUUAUGCUUUUUAAUUACUCCUUCCGUUCCUUAGUGAUAUAUUUUUUAGAAAAUUUAUUUUUUUCACACAGAUGUAUUUUUUUGUGUUUUUUAUGAAAAAAUUGUAAACAAAAAUUAAUUGACUUUAUUAAAUUACUAUUGGUUCAAAGUUAUUGAGAAUUGAAAAUUACAGAAACGAUACAUUUAUUAUAGUAGUUUAAUGUGUUUUUUAAUAUGUGUGAAAAUACUAAAAAAUCUAUUUCUGUGGAACGGAGGGAGUAAGAGCAGCAUUAUCCCUGAAACCCACUUAAGGGUUUCUUAAAAAAAAUUUUGUCUGAUUAAAAAAAAUAAAUAACGCACCAAUCGCUGGCUGCCACAUGUCGGUGGACCCGCAAACAGUACAAAAAACCACCACAAUCGGUCCUUAAUUCAUGACUUUGGGAACUGGUUUUUAUGGUUUAGUGGAGUUCACACAUUGUUUUUUUUAAAGAAACUCCCUUUUAAAAAUCCCAAUAAUGCUGCUCUAACAAAUAAGACUCAUUUUUUCUUCACGUCUAUUAGUGAUAGAGGAUAAUAAUGGAAUUGUGAAAAUUGUCUUGUUUGGUGUGAAAAGUAUAAAACUGAAUACUAAAGAUCUCUAAUUGUUGGAAAAAAAAGAUCUAUAGUUAAAUUAUUUGUAACAUCUCUCUAUUAUAUAGAAAAAUAACAUAUUUAAAUACAAUAGAAAUAACAUUAACACCAUUUUGUUUUUGAAAAAUAUAGAGAUAUCUUUUUUUAACACAAAAUAUAUAGAAAUAUCUUGAAAAUUGUUUAAGAGGGAUGCAACCUUUCCAACCUCUACUUCCUUAAACAACUACCAUAUUUAAGAUAUUUCAACAUGCAAAACUAACAUUCGAUUCAUACAAAACUGCUAUAAAUACCAAAGUGAAAAAAUAUAGUGUGUUCAAACAUAAAAAAAACAAUGGGUGUUAACUAUGAAUGAAUUUAUUCGCUUGGAACCUUGGACGAUGGAUUCUACAUUUUUUGCACCUAAUCAUUCAUAUUCAGCCUAAUAACAUAAUUUAAUUUUCUUCCAUUCUUACUCUAUAUAAUGAGUAUCAAACAUUUAUGUAAUGGAUUUUUUUUAUAAAUUAAUUGAAGAAAAACUACUUAUGUCUUUUCUGAAAUCAUAAAAUUUUUUUUGAAAACUAAUGUCUUGUAAAAUGAGAAAAGUUAUUUUAGUUAGACAUUUUUGGUAACCCAAUUUGUGACACUGAUAGAAAUUAUUAUUAAUAUUAAAUUUAAAAUAAAUUAAGUAUUUAUAUCAUAUUAAAAUCAUAAAUUAUAUUACCAAAAAAUAACAUUGAUUUAAUUCUAUUUGUCAACAGUCAUUUUUUAAUCUAAUUAAUGAUAUUAAUAUGAUUUAUUCUAAAUACUAAGUUUAUUUUAAUAUUAAUAUUAGUAAUAAUUUAUAUCAAUGUCUUUUUUUGAAAAAAACACAAUUUAUAUCAAUGUCACAAGUUGGGUUACCAUAAAAAUGUCUGACUAAAACAUUUUCUCAUUUUACGAGAUGUUGGUUUUCAAAAACGAAUCUAUGAUUUCAAAAAAGACAAAAAUAAUUUUCCUUCAAUUAAUUUAUAAAAACAAAAUCAAUUAUAUAAAUGUGUGAUACUCAGUAUAUAGAGUAAGAAGGAAAUAAAACUAAUUCUGUUAUUAGGGUGAAUAUGAAUGAUUAAGUGCAAAAAAUUAUAGAAUCCAUCGUCCAAGGUUUGCAAGCGAAUAAAUUCAUACAUCUGUUUUUGCUGCUUAAAGCAUCUACAAUGGGAAAAUGAAAAUCUAACAAUGGAGAUCUAUAGCUAGUGGGAUUCAGGCUAUGGUUCAGACAUAUAUAUUGAUCAAAAUUUUCACCAUCCUGUUUUAGAAAUAUAUAUAUACCAUCUUGAUUCAACUGCUAGAAGACAAUCACUUACUUUCAAAUGUUAUUGUUUUCCUACUAAAAUAAUGGUGUGUAUCCAAUUAAUAAUUUAAGGUUUUAGUCAAAAUAUCAUAUUAUUAAAGAAACUAUCGUUAUCAAUAUUUGUUUCCAAAAAAAUUGUAUAACUUUUUAGUUAUGUUAGCACAAUUUUAAAAUAAUUGAUAAAAUAGUUCCAAUAUAUUAAUAAAGGAUCUUGCUUAUUCGUCUAAUCAAAUUUUUUAUUUAACAUCAAACUUAUGUUGCAUUAAAUUUUUGAAUAAAAUCUGCAACACAACACUACAGAAAUAUGCUUAAUAAAAACAUUUUCAUUGUUGAAAAACUAAUGAAAAUCUCUUUCGUAAAUUUAGCAGUAUGUUAUAAUAAUUUGGAUAGGAUUAAAUUAUAAAUUCUCUUAAAAUAUGUCAGUAAUAAAAGGAUAAAUUUUUCUAUAACUUCUCAUAAGUUUUAUAUUUUCUCAUUUAAAAAAUUGUUCUCUCCUUCUCUACUACUUUUUAAUAUUUCUUCUUUUUGAUUAAUGAAACACUCACUCAAAAAUUCCCCAUAAAAAUGGUCUAUAAGUCACUAGUCAUCACAAGACAACACCAACUAAUUUGGUGUUAAUGGUUAUAUUUAUAUGUUAACAAAGACUUGAAUAUGCACGUACGGCUACCUAUAAACCCAGUAGUGACAACUGACAGGUCCGAUAAUACGACAUGAUCAAUAUGCUUCUUAAAACAUCACUAACACUUAAUUAAUAUGUUUUCUGGCUUUAUAGGCAUUUAUUUACGUUUCGGCUUGUCGACUAAAGUAUAUAGAGUUAAUUAAAAGAAAACACCCUGACGAAAGCAUGUGUCUUCAGAAUUCAACAUAUAUUAUAUCGUCAGUGUCUCGUACGUCAUAAGCCGGGCCGGCUUAGACAGUGAAUGUGACCACUCCGAUACUAAUAAUAUUUAAAAGCUCGAUUAUU